rnacentral:tRNA from 5 species
GCGAAGAUGGCGGAAUUGGUAGACGCGCUAGCUUCAGGUGUUAGUGUCCUUACGGACGUGGGGGUUCAAGUCCCCCCCCUCGCACCA